GGCGGCAGGCCUAACACAUGCAAGUCGAGCGCUCGUAGCAAUACGGGAGCGGCAGACGGGAGAGUAACACGUGGGAACGUACCCUUCGGUUCGGAAUAACCCAGGGAAACUUGGGCUAAUACCGGAUACGUCCGUAAGGAGAAAGAUUUAUCGCCGAGGGAUCGGCCCGCGCCCGAUUAGCUAGUUGGUGAGGUAAUGGCUCACCAAGGCGACGAUCGGUAGCUGGUCUGAGAGGAUGAUCAGCCUCACUGGGACUGAGACACGGCCCAGACUCCUACGGGAGGCAGCAGUGGGGAAUAUUGGACAAUGGGCGCAAGCCUGAUCCAGCCAUGCCGCGUGGGUGAUGACGGCCUUAGGGUUGUAAAGCCCUUUCGGCGGGGAAGAUAAUGACGGUACCCGCAGAAGAAGCCCCGGCUAACUUCGUGCCAGCAGCCGCGGUAAUACGAAGGGGGCUAGCGUUGCUCGGAAUCACUGGGCGUAAAGCGCACGUAGGCGGGUUCUUAAGUCAGAGGUGAAAUCCUGGAGCUCAACUCCAGAACUGCCUUUGAUACUGAGGAUCUCGAGUUCGGGAGAGGUGA
rnacentral:rRNA from 1 species